rnacentral:lncRNA from 1 species
CCAUUGUAGCAUAGGAGAGAAAGGAGAUACAGCAUGCAAAAGAGUGGGUUCGAGAAGAAGGUAGUGAAUGUUGCCAACUGAUACUCCCAAAGCAACUUACCAAAACCAUAGCACUAGAGUUCAUGCUAUUGCAACUUCAGCAACCAUCUUCCCACAUCGCUAGAUUUCCAUUAUCUUCAGUUUUUCUGUCGAAUUGAAUUGCUCCCGUCUCGGAUAGCAACCCGCACUGCUUCCCCUUUUUGGUCAUGACUUAAGACGAUGUCAGUGAGUUGAUAAAAAGUAUGUCCACUGCUGUGAGAGAAUCUUCCACCAGUUCGACUGAUUUAAUCUUUUUGGUUCGCAGUCGGGCAUUGAGUUUGCAGGGUGAUGCUCUAGUGUUUCCAUCUUUUCAGUGGGACACAAUGGUAUGUUGGGAUUG